rnacentral:lncRNA from 1 species
AUUGAUCCACAAAGUUUGCAGCAUGACAGCAUGACAGUGUGUAUUGAUCCACAAAGUUUGCAGCAAUUGUGGAAUACUAUGGUAGUACAAUAUAUUGAUCCACACAGUUUGUGGCAUGACAGUUUAAGGAAAUUACAGAAGUGUAGCACUGAUGGGUAUGUCAUGUGAACAUUUUUCAAUGGAGCUACUUGUUUAAAUUUACAUGGGUGAAUUGUCACACCAAUAUCCUCUGAUGAACCUUGGGUUUUUUUUUUUUUUUCUUUUUCUUCCUCUCUUGGUCAAGCCAAACAAUUUGUCUUCAUGAGGACUUCAUGUUACCAAUAAGCAGCAUCUUGUGUUCUCCUUCUCUUCAUCCCCUUGUCAAGACAACAAUUUGAUGCAUCUUUGCAUUGGGUUGCUUCCUCUCCCUCUCCUUCCUCCUUGAGGCAAAACCAUAUCAUUGCUUAGUUUUGACUAUGUUCUUUUGAUCAUUGUGAGAAAGCAUCAUUGUAAGAUGUACAAGAAACGUGUUGUGGUGCAUUAUCCCCUUCUCUACCACCUAAAAUCUAUUUUACACGAUCAUAAGGACCAAGGUGUUUUAAGCAUCAGGUAAGGAAUUUGUUGACAAUGAUGUGAGAGAUAGAGACAUGCAACAUACCGGUAUUCAAAAGACGUGAUGUUCUUCUUUUGCAUUUGACAAUAUUCAUUUAGUCUGAACUCCAUAUUUGAGCAACUUAGAAUCUCCACCUUCAUUAGGAUUGCAGGAAGUUGGCUUCUUGGAAAGACAUGGAAAGGGAGCAUCUAGAAAUCUGAAAGAAUUCCAGAGGCUUGUUGCUACUUUUGAAUCAUUCCAAUCAAUAGCAACUCCAAAAGAUAUAUACAAAUCUAUCCCUGGAAAAGAGAUGUGUCCUGUGCAUAUGCAACCAUCUCUCUAAUAGACUCGGGAUUGUGCAUCCUCAUGGUAGUUUCAUAUAUAUUGCACCAUAUGAAUUGUAGAUAUCCAACUACCAAUAUCACUACACCUGAAUGAACUAGGAGUUAUGCUGAAAGUGAAUUUGGACAACCCAUCAUCGAAAGAAUCCUGUAGGAAUACACCAAAAAGAAAAUCUUAUUAACAUAAAUGAAUUCAUCCCGCUAAUGGAUAAAGUUGCCUAAAAAAUUAAAUUGGGAGAGAUAGAAAUAUUGAUGCUUACAUGGGACUGUGAGAGGGACCAACAAGUGGAACAAACAUUGAAUAGUAAAUGUAAAACCAUAAAGCUCGUAACUGUUGUCAAAAGCUGCUCUCUACUGAAGUUUUUUUAACAAUAAAGGUAAGUAGAAAAUUCACCUAAUAGCUCCACUUGUAGGAAAUUUCAAUGGUGUGAAACUAGGAUAUGGUGAACUCACUUUUGCUAAUGCAGUGAACCAUUAUGGAUAAAAAAUGAAUCUCACCAUCAGUUUUCACAUAGGAGAUGUGGGCUCUCUUUGGCCCAUUUCUCAGUAUUGGAUCUAAGAGUUUUGUCUCUCAUAUAUGGUUCCACUUGCCAAAUACAAUGGAGCUUAGCUGAUGACAACACAUUCAGAAAAAUGCAAGAAUUCCAAAGACAUGUUUUGUGCUAUCAUGAAUCAUUCCAAUCAAUAAGGAAUCGAAGUGCUAUAAUUUUGAAUUGUCUUAGGGAACAUACCCCAAUUCAAUCUUGCGGAAGUAAACUGUCUUGAGCACCAACUCAAUUCUGAGAUCUUUGGAAGACUUGAGACACCAAUUCAAUAAAAAAUGCUAGUUGUUUUUGUGGUAGAUUGUCUUCCUCCACUAAUACUGGGGAAAAUGCUUUUGAAAACCAUUAAUCUGAAAAUUACAGAGGAAAAUGAGAUUAUGUUGUUAUUGUAUCUCCAAUCUCCUUGACAUAAAUAGAUAUUUCCUUGCAACCAACAAUUUCUAAUUCUAUCACUUCUAUUCUAGCAUGUGAUUUAGGAAGAGAAUUAAGGUUCAGAAUAUUGCCAACAUGCAAGGAAUUGACAAAGGCCAAGUGGGCAGCCAUAAUAGUUAGUUCACAAACAAAUGACACCAUUGGAAGUGGAACACAAAACAUAAACUUCAAAAAUAAAACAUGUAUCCCACAAUCAUAAAUACCAAGGUGUUUAAGCAUCAAGUAAGGCAUCUCUUGACAAUGAUGUGAGAGAGAGACAUGCAACAUACCAGUAUUCAAGAGAACUAGUAUUCUUCUUUUGCAUUAGGCAACAUUCAUCUAUUCUACACUCCAAAUUUUAGCAACUCAGGAUCUCCACCUUCAUUAGGAUUGUAGGAAGCUGGCCUCUUGGAAACACAUGAGAGAACAUUUAGAAAUCUAAAAGAAUUCCAGAGACUUGUUGUUGCUUGAAUUGUUAAUCAUUCCAAUCAUAAAUACCAAGGUAUUUCAGGAUUAGGUAAGGCAACUCUUGGCAAUGAUGUGAGAGAUAAAGCCAAGCAGCAUACUAGUAUUAAAGAGAAGUAGUAUUCUUCUUUUGCAUUCAACAACAUUCAUCUACUGUACACCCCAAAUUUUAGCAACUUAGGAUCUCCACCUUCAUUAGGAUUGUAGGAAGCUGGCCUCUUGAAAACACAUGAGAGGACAUUUAGAAAUCUCAAAGAAUCCCAAAGACUUGUUGUUGCUUUAAUUGUGAAUCAUUCCAAUCAGUAACAACCUCAAAGCCCUACAUACGAUUUUUAACUAUCAACCUUCUUACCUUGAAUGAAAAACCUAUCCAUAGGAAAGAGGUGUCUUGGGCAUGCAACCAUCAAUUAUUAGCUAUCGAAAAGGCUUGAAGUUGUGCACCCACUUGGUAGUUUCUAAUUCAUUAAACCACAUAACUUCUAGAUAUCCAAUUGGCACGUCAUUACAUCUGAAUGUAAGUGAAUAGGAAGUUAGACAACCUUUCACAAAAAGAAUCCUGUAAGAAUACACCAAACAAAACUUCUUGUUAACAUAAAUGAAUUCACUCAGUUAAAUUAUUGUGUGAAAAUUUAAAUUGGGAUAAAUAAAAAUACCGAUGCUUACAUGGGACUGUGGGAGGACCAACAAGAGGAAUAGACUUUGAAUAGCAAAUGUGAAGCCAUAAAGCUUGAAAUUGUUGUCAGACGCUGCCCCCUAGCCAAGUUUUCAACAAAAAGGUUCAAUGUAGGGAUUCUCUAGUAGUUGAACUUGUAGAAAAUUUCAAUAGUAUGACUUUAUACUUGUAAUAAGAAGAUAAAUUAUGUGUUGGGAAUAAAUGAAACUUACUAAAUAUAUGGAUAGGAUAGGGUGAACUCUCUGUGUUUCCAUUUUUGGAAUCUAACGGAUCAAAGAUGGAUCUCUCCAUCUAUUUCCAAAUAGGAGAUGUGGGCAAUCUUGAAUUGAUGUCUCAUCAUUGGAUUUGGAACUGAUGUAUAGCUCUGAAACCAUGAUAGGGUUCUCCUUCAGUUGUCAAAUACAACUGGAGCUUAGGUGAGGUCUUGGUGAUAUAGAAAAGUCAUGGAUUCUAGAAUCUUUACAUGAAAAUAUAAAUGAGAUACAUUGGAAGAAAGCCCAGGCCUUGGUCAUCUGAGAAGAAACACAUCUUAAAUAUCCUAUCAAUC